CUAAAUAUUUAAGUUUCCUCUAAGUAGUGUGUUUGGCUAUGUCAAGAGUUUGAAACGUGAUAUUUUCUGUAUUGUUUGGUUUAAAUAUUAAUCAGAUUUCCAUGCUGUUUUUCCUCUGAUUGGAAGUGUUCUAAAUGUCUAAAUGUACAAAAGGUUAGAAGUCAAUAACACCACAGAAGCAAAGAUCAGUGAACCUGAAAACAUAGCAAUAGAAAGUUUCCAGAAUGACAUUCAAAGAGAAAAAAGACUAGAAAAACAUAAGAACAUGGCAUCAUUGGGCUGUCAGACGAUAAUAUCACAUGGUCUAACACACUUCUGUUUGGAGUCCCAGAAGGAAAGAGAAUGAGACUGAAAGGAAGACGUUUAAGACAUUUUUAAACCAACAAAAAUUAAUAGAGCUACUGGUCUCAAACUCACUGAAAGAACUUAUAUAAAGAGUGUAUUUGGUAGGCGGCUUCUGACAUGGCUCCCGUGAGCCCCACCUGCUGGGACUCACACCUAGAUGUAAUCCCCUCUUCUUGAGUGUGGGCCGGACCUAGUGAUUGCUUCUAACAAAUAGAAUACAGCAAAAAUGAUGGAAUGUCACUUGUGCAUUAUGUUACAAAAGACUGUGAUUUCUGUCUUGCUGGUUCUCUUCCUUCCUCUGUUGCCCACUUGGUUUACAUGCUUUGAUGAAGAAGCUGCGGGUUGGGGACACUCACAUGGCAAAGAACUAAGGACAGCCUCUAGCAAACAGCCAGCAAGGAACUGAGACUUUCGUCUGGUUAUCCAGUCACGAAGAACUGAAUCCUGUCGACAACCAUAAUAUCUUGCAUUUUAGCUGAGCAUGUGUCUCACUCUCACCAGAGACCACAUUUCCCAGUUGCUUGUGCAGCAACCAGGGUGAUCACAUGGUAGGCAAACACAGAAGCUAAAUAUCAGAGAUGACAGACGGUCAGAACCGGUCUACCCUCGUGGGCUCCCGUGUGACUGCGUGUGGCCGACUUACUUCCCGGCCUUGAUGCUGCAGCCUUGCUCUGCAAGCCCAGCCCGCUUCUGAAAUGCUUCACGAGAGAAGUUGACAUGGAUGCUCCUGAAGGUACUUAUCUUAAAGACUCUUUGUUACCACAGCUUAGCCUUGAUCCUGACAAAUACAUCCUUUAAGCUCCAAAAGAAAGAAUAAAAGAAAGGAAAAAAAACAUUUAAAAGCACAUAUUUUGAAAGAAUAAAAUGAAAUCUUAAAAAUAAGUCCCAAUAUCUCAAAUGUAAAUGGAUUCAGUACACCAAUGAAAAGGCAGACUUUGGGUUGAGGAUGCAGAAAUUCUGACUCUAUGACAUUUAGAAGAAAUAUAUCAAAAUUAUAAAAGAUAUAAAAGGAUAAAAAAAAAUCAGGUAAAUACAGUGAAAAGAUAGCUUGCUGUAUUGCUGUCCAAUUAACGGGACUUCAUUUAAAUCCAAUUAAAUAGAUGUGGGGGGGAUGCAUUAUAAAGGAUAAACGUGGUCACUAAAAAAUGCUAAGCAUUUAAAUUAAUUUGGAAUGUCCAGCAACUCUAAACUUGCAAGUAUCUAACAAUACAGCAUAUAUUUAUGAAUGUAUGUUUUAUAUAAAACAAUUUCAUGGGAAAAUGGGCAAAUAUGCAGUCACAUAGGGAGAUUGUUAACAUACUCAGGGAAUUAACAGAUCAAAUAUUCAGUAAGACUAAUAAACUUGACACAUUUGGUAACCUGUACUUUGUUAAAUAAUCUAAUUUCCCAAUUAAUUUCCCAAUUAAGUACAGAGGAAACACAUGAAAAUUGAGUGUCCUAGGUAAUAAAGUAUCAGUAAAUCUUAAAAAAUUGAUAUAGAGACCACAUUGUAGUUGAAAAUAAAAAUAAGGGUUAUUUACUUUGUUCUAAAAUUUAAGUACUUCAGAAUAUAGAUUAUAAUUGGAUUUACAUGUAGGUUAACUACCUCUGAGAUAUUUAUAGAAUUCUGGUAUUUCAAUGUUGGCAUAUUUUGUUUUCAGGACCAUACUGUGGUAGAGAUCAGUAACAUAGAUUGGCAGCGCUUUAUUCACACUAUUAUUGAAAAGGUGAACUGCACAAUGUUAACUCAUUUUCAUUCAGUUUUAAGUUGGAGAAG